GACGAACGCUGGCGGCGUGCCUAAUACAUGCAAGUCGAACGCUGAAGGAAGGAGCUUGCUCUUUCUGGAUGAGUUGCGAACGGGUGAGUAACGCGUAGGUAACCUGCCUGGUAGCGGGGGAUAACUAUUGGAAACGAUAGCUAAUACCGCAUAAAAUUGAUUAUUGCAUGAUAGUCAAUUAAAAGGUGCAACUGCACCACUACCAGAUGGACCUGCGUUGUAUUAGCUAGUUGGUGGGGUAACGGCUCACCAAGGCGACGAUACAUAGCCGACCUGAGAGGGUGAUCGGCCACACUGGGACUGAGACACGGCCCAGACUCCUACGGGAGGCAGCAGUAGGGAAUCUUCGGCAAUGGACGGAAGUCUGACCGAGCAACGCCGCGUGAGUGAAGAAGGGUUUCGGAUCGUAAAGCUCUGUUGUAAGAGAAGAACGAGUGUGAGAGUGGAAAGUUCACACUGUGACGGUAUCUUACCAGAAAGGGACGGCUAACUACGUG
rnacentral:rRNA from 1 species